rnacentral:rRNA from 1 species
UGGGGAAUAUUGGACAAUGGGCGCAAGCCUGAUCCAGCCAUGCCGCGUGAGUGAUGAAGGCCCUAGGGUUGUAAAGCUCUUUCACCGGUGAAGAUAAUGACGGUAACCGGAGAAGAAGCCCCGGCUAACGUCGUGCCAGCAGCCGCGGUAAUACGAAGGGGGCUAGCGUUGUUCGGAUUUACUGGGCGUAAAGCGCACGUAGGCGGACUAUUAAGUCAGGGGUGAAAUCCCGGGGCUCAACCCCGGAACUGCCUUUGAUACUGGUAGUCUUGAGUUCGAGAGAGGUGAGUGGAAUUCCGAGUGUAGAGGUGAAAUUCGUAGAUAUUCGGAGGAACACCAGUGGCGAAGGCGGCUCACUGGCUCGAUACUGACGCUGAGGUGCGAAAGCGUGGGGAGCAAACAGG